rnacentral:tRNA from 1 species
GGGACUGUAGCUCAGUGGUAGAGCACUUGUCUCGAAACUGUGAGACACUGGGUUUGACCCUCAGUACCA